rnacentral:rRNA from 1 species
UACAGAGGGUGCGAGCGUUAAUCGGAAUUACUGGGCGUAAAGCGCGCGUAGGCGGCUUUGCAAGUCGGGUGUGAAAUCCCCAGGCUUAACCUGGGAACUGCAUUCGAGACUGCAUUGCUAGAGUAUGGGAGAGGGAAGUGGAAUUUCCGGUGUAGCGGUGAAAUGCGUAGAUAUCGAGAGGAACACCUGCGGCGAAGGCGGGUGCUGGGCUGAUGACUGACACUGAGGCGCGAAAGCUAGGGGAGCGAACGGG